CAGGUUUACCUGUGUGACUGCGUACCUUUUGUAUAAUGGGUCAGCGACUUAUAUUCUGUAGCAAGGUUAACCGAAUAGGGGAGCCGGAGGGAAACCGAGUCUUAAUUGGGCGUUAAGUUGCAGGGUAUAGACCCGAAACCCGGUGAUCUAGCCAUGGGCAGGUUGAAGGUUGGGUAACACUAACUGGAGGACCGAACCGACUAAUGUUGAAAAAUUAGCGGAUGACCUGUGGCUGGGGGUGAAAGGCCAAUCAAACCGGGAGAUAGCUGGUUCUCCCCGAAAGCUAUUUAGGUAGCGCCUCGUGAAUUCAUCUCCGGGGGUAGAGCACUGUUUCGGCUAGGGGGCCAUCCCGGCUUACCAACCCGAUGCAAACUGCGAAUACCGGAGAAUGUUAUCACGGGAGACACACGGCGGGUGCUAACGUCCGUCGUGAAGAGGGAAACAACCCAGACCGCCAGCUAAGGUCCCAAAGUCAUGGUUAAGUGGGAAACGAUGUGGGAAGGCCCAGACAGCCAGGAUGUUGGCUUAGAAGCAGCCAUCAUUUAAAGAAAGCGUAAUAGCUCACUGGUCGAGUCGGCCUGCGCGGAAGAUGUAACGGGGCUAAACCAUGCACCGAAGCUGCGGCAGCGACGCUUAUGCGUUGUUGGGUAGGGGAGCGUUCUGUAAGCCUGUGAAGGUGGCCUGUGAGGGUUGCUGGAGGUAUCAGAAGUGCGAAUGCUGACAUAAGUAACGAUAAAGCGGGUGAAAAGCCCGCUCGCCGGAAGACCAAGGGUUCCUGUCCAACGUUAAUCGGGGCAGGGUGAGUCGACCCCUAAGGCGAGGCCGAAAGGCGUAGUCGAUGGGAAACGGGUUAAUAUUCCCGUACUUGGUGUUACUGCGAAGGGGGGACGGAGAAGGCUAUGUUGGCCGGGCGACGGUUGUCCCGGUUUAAGCGUGUAGGUGUGUGUUCCAGGUAAAUCCGGUUCACUUUAACACUGAGGCGUGAUGACGAGGCACUACGGUGCUGAAGUAACAAAUGCCCUGCUUCCAGGAAAAGCCUCUAAGCAUCAGGUAACAUCAAAUCGUACCCCAAACCGACACAGGUGGUCAGGUAGAGAAUACCAAGGCGCUUGAGAGAACUCGGGUGAAGGAACUAGGCAAAAUGGUGCCGUAACUUCGGGAGAAGGCACGCUGACAC
rnacentral:rRNA from 1 species